rnacentral:rRNA from 1 species
UACAGAGGUCUCAAGCGUUGUUCGGAUUCAUUGGGCGUAAAGAGCUCGUAGGUGGUUCGGUAAGUCGGGUGUGAAACCUCCAGGCUCAACCUGGAGACGCCACCCGAUACUGCUGUGACUGGAGUCCGGUAGGGGAGCGUGGAAUUCCUGGUGUAGCGGUGAAAUGCGCAGAUAUCAGGAGGAACACCGGUGGCGAAGGCGGGUCUCUGGGCCGAUACUGACGCUGAGGAGCGAAAGCGUGGGGAGCGAACAGG